GAAAAGGCCGGAACGCAUUAAUGGGCCAUUUAAGAACUGCCUGCCUCCUAAACCUAUUUUCAGACUGUGAAGCAGGAAGGCAGUGAGGCAUGGUAAAGGGCACUAAUUUGAAGUCAGAAGACCUGGGCUGUGCCAAUGACUCAUUGUAAUCUUGGGAAAGUCCUUUCCCUUCUCUAGACAUCAGGGUCUCAUUCACACUGGGUAAAGGGGUGGGGGUGGAAAGCAGGAAUUAGACUUGAUAACUACUAAAGGCCCUUUUAGAUUUGACAUUUUAGGCUUAAUUAUAACUCCACCUUCCACACCCAGGUGUGGAAUUAUAACUCCACCUCCCACAAUCUCCAGGAUGCACCAAAGGACCUAACUGGACCAAACCUCCGAGUUCUUGACUACAGCAUUCCACAUGAAUGGGAUCAUAUAACAGAGAAUUUUUGCUAGAGAAAAAGGCAAGAGGAGAAAGAAGCUGAAGAUGUAUCACUGAAUGAGAGAGGUUUGAAAGUGCCCGACAAGCUAGAUACACCACUGCAUGAGAAGCCCAUCAAAGUGCCUAUGAGAGAAAAAUGGUUGCACAAACAUGGUCAAAGAAAAUCAAUAACAGACUGAUGGAUGGAUCAAGUUGUCAGUGUAUUAGAUGCAUUAUUGGGACUGCUGGCAAUAUGUCCGAAUAAAAACUGCACCAGUCUGCAGCUCCCAGUGAUAUUGAUGAAAAAGAUUUAUUCUCCACUCCACGUGGCCACUGUCAGAGGAUAGAGGAGGUGUGGCAUCAGUGAUUCAAGACUGUAUUUUCUGCCAUCUUUCAGUGCCUCUUUCAGCAAUAUGGAGCUAAAGCCAUGUACCGUGAUUGCUCACCUGAUUUUUAGUUCCUAUGAAGAUGCUUUGUGUGUAAGUAUGUGCAGACAGAGUUAUUAAAUUGGUGUUCUUGCAGGGGGGACAAUCGGUGGAGCCUUCUAUUUGGCCAUCUUGUUCCACUCAUCUUGUUUUUAUUUCUUGUGGGUACAUACCUAGUAGUAAAAUUGAUGGACCAUAUGUAACUUUAUAUUAAAUAUUUGAGGAAGUGCCAGACUGUUUUUUAUAGUGGCUCUGCUAUUUUACAUUUCUUCCAGCAGUGUAUGUGUGCUCCAAACUUUCCACGUUGUUGACAACACUUAUUAUUGUUUUCUUUUUUUAUUAUUGUUUUCCCUUUUUUUAUUAUAGCCAUGUGCUAUAAAUAUGCUCAUUGACUAUGUUAAUUUUUUUGAUAAAUAUUUAUUUAAUUCCUUUGUCUAUUUAAAAAUACUGUGUUAUUUGGCUUUUUACUGUCAAGUGUUAAGAGGCUUUUAUGUAUUUUAUAUACAAAUUCCUUACCAAAAUUAUGCUUUCAAAACAUUUUCUCUCAUUCUUUGGGUUGUUUUUCACUUUUAUUAUGAUAUUUUUGAAGCAUAUAAACUUUUUAUUUCUGAUAAAGUCCAAUUUAUUAAUAGUUUGCUGUGUGUGCUUUGAAGUCAUACUGCAUUUUCACUAAAGGUCAUAAAGAUUUAUUCCUGUGUUGCUGU
rnacentral:lncRNA from 10 species